UCAAAUCGGCCGUUGUGAAUGUG
rnacentral:siRNA from 1 species